rnacentral:rRNA from 1 species
CUCGCUGUUGGCGAUAUACUGUCAGCGGCCAAGCGAAAGUAUUAAGUGAUGCACCUGGGGAGUACGCCGGCAACGGUGAAACUCAAAGGAAUUGACGGGGGCCCGCACAAGCGGUGGAGCAUGUGGUUUAAUUCGAUGAUACGCGAGGAACCUUACCAGGGCUUAAAUGUAGUAUGACCGGCUUAGAAAUAGGCCUUCUCUUCGGAGCAGAUUACAAGAUGCUGCAUGGUUGUCGUCAGCUCGUGCCGUGAGGUGUUAGGUUAAGUCCUGCAACGAGCGCAACCCCUAUUCUUAGUUGCCAGCGGUUCGGCCGGGGACUCUAAGAAGACUGCCAGCGCAAGCUGAGAGGAAGGUGGGGAUGACGUCAAAUCAUCACGGCCCUUACGUCCUGGGCUACACACGUGCUACAAUGGUAGAGACAGAGGGCAGCCACCUGGUGACAGGGAGCGAAUCCUUAAACUCUAUCUCAGUUCGGAUCGAAGUCUGCAACUCGACUUCGUGAAGCUGGAAUCGCUAGUAAUCGCGCAUCAGCCAUGGCGCGGUGAAUACGUUCCCGGGCCUUGUACACACCGCCCGUCAAGCCAUGGAAGCUGGGGGCACCUGAAGUCGGUAACCGUAAGGAGCCGCCUAGGGUGAAACUGGUAACUAGGGCU